rnacentral:rRNA from 1 species
AGUGAACGCUGGCGGUAGGCCUAACACAUGCAAGUCGAACGGCAGCACAGUAAGAGCUUGCCCUUACGGGUGGCGAGUGGCGGACGGGUGAGGAAUACAUCGGAAUCUACUUUUUCGUGGGGGAUAACGUAGGGAAACUUACGCUAAUACCGCAUACGACCUACGGGUGAAAGCAGGGGAUCUUCGGACCUUGCGCGAUUGAAUGAGCCGAUGUCGGAUUAGCUAGUUGGCGAGGUAAAGGCCCACCAAGGCGACGAUCCGUAGCUGGUCUGAGAGGAUGAUCAGCCACACUGGAACUGAGACACGGUCCAGACUCCUACGGGAGGCAGCAGUGGGGAAUAUUGGACAAUGGGCGAAAGCCUGAUCCAGCCAUACCGCGUGGGUGAAGAAGGCCUUCGGGUUGUAAAGCCCUUUUGUUGGGAAAGAAAAGCAGCAGGUUAAUACCCCGCUGUUCUGACGGUACCCAAAGAAUAAGCACCGGCUAACUUCGUG